AUUAACUUUCACUGUUUUGCAGAUGAUACACAGUUAUAUAUAUCGAUCAAGCCCGAUGAAAUUAAUCAAUUAUCUUAAUUUCAAGAAUGUCUAAAAGACAUAAAAACCUGGAUGAGCUGCAAUUUUCUGAUGUUAAACUCAGAAAAAAAUUAAAUUCUUGUACUUGGCCCCAAACAUCUCCGAUUCAUUUAUCAACAUUUAAUACAGACACACAUUACAUGUAGAAGCUCUUUUGUCUUUUUCCACUCACUGUUCUCAUAUUUGAAAUCCUGUUUCUUUAGUUUUUAAUGUUUAAUUUCAUACUGAUGAAGGAGUUUCAUAACACUGUUUAUUACUUUCUGCAGGAUGGACUUGAAGAAAGCAGUGUAAGUAUAAUCUGUUAACUUCAUAAAGAUUCUUUCACACAUAAUAUAUUGAUGAAGCUGUGAACAUCAUUAAAACCUCUUUAGUUGCAUUCAUCUUUUCUGUCACUUGUAUCUGUUGUAUCCACACUGACACUGAAGUUCAAUCAACUUUAUUUUAUUGAAGAUCAACAACUGUAAAUAUUAUAAUGUAUAACCCUCAUAAUGUUCCUGUUGUCCUAGAAUAAUCUAAUAAUAAUUCAUGUUAAAGUGAGAAGUAGAGGAAACUACUUUAAAAAGAGGAGGGAAAUCAUUCAGUGGGAACAGAAUCAACUUUUACUGAACUUUUCUGAUGUCUACUUGGUAGUUUCUGUGUAUCCAGCAGUUGCUGUGGCUGAUGGAUCACAAUCUAAUUUACCACCCUGGUGGUCUUUGUCUCUCGUCCAUCAGAACCAGAACCAGAACCAGUGACAGUGACAGAGACAGUGACAGCAACGAGUCCAUUACAUCCAAUGUGUCCUUCAAGAGUAAUUGGUCAAAAGAAGAUUCUGUUUAUUUCAAAGAAUCCUCUCCUACCAGGUCGGAGAAAGAAAGAUCAGGUGAAGAGGACAUUGAUUUCAGGAGGGAUCAGUCAAAGGAAGUCAUCAGUGUCAAAGAGAAACGCUUUACUGUCAGGCUGAAAGAUUGUGUGAGAAACUUUCUCAGCAAAAGUUUCAGAGGACAUUUUUCAAGUACUCAGAAUAUCCGUGAGUCAAAUUUCUUCUCCCUCAUAAAUUCCUUCUUAAAACUUAUAUAUUUAGAUUUGUUCUUUCUGUCACUUGUAUCAAACACUGUCCUGAAGUUGGAGCCUCUGCUCCCCUGUGAUAUUCCUGCUGUCCUACAUUGAUCUCAUAUGAUGGAGCAGGAUUAAUAUUAAUGUGAGAAGUAUCAGGAAAUUACAAUAUACACUGAACAAAAUGAUAAAUGCAACACUUUUGUUUUUGCCCCCAUUCAUCAUGAGCUGAACUCAAAGAUCUAAGACUUUCUCUAUGUACACAAAAGGCCUAUUUCUCUCAAAUAUUGUUUACAAAUCUGUCAAAAUCUGUGUUAGUGAGCACUUCUCCUUUGCCAAGAUAAUCCAUCCACCUCACAGGUGUGGCAUAUCAAGAUGCUGAUCAGACAGCAUGGGUAAUGCACAGGUGUGCCUUAGGCUGGCCACAUUAAAAGGCCACUCGAAAAUGUGCAGUUUCACUGUAUUUUGGGGGGGGGGGGGGGGGGGGGGGCCAGGAAACCCGCCAGUAUCGGGGGGGACCCCCAUUUNGAGGGCGGGGUAUUGUUAAAAACCUCACGAUUCGAUUCGAUUUUGAUUCUUUAGGUCACAAUUCGAUUCAAUAUCGAUUUGAUUCGAUAUUGAUUUAAAUGCUUCGAUAUCGAUUCAGUAAUAAGUAGAAUUACAACAACACUGUACGGUUGUAGGUCCUUACAUAUGAAGACGGCCACAGACUCUGUUAUCUUCUCACGUAGUGCAACACAUCUCCUUUGCAUAGAGUUGAUCAGGUUGUUGAUUGUGGCCUGUGGAAUGUUGGUCCACUCCUCUUCAAUGGCUGUGCGAAGAUAUUGGCAGGACCUGGAACACGCUGUCGUAUACGCCGAUCCAGGUGAUGGUUGUGGAUGAAUGGCACAACAAUGGGCCUCAGGAUCUCGUCACAGUAUCUCUGUGCAUUCCAAAUGCCAUCAAUAAAAUGCACCUGUGUUCGUUGUUCAUAACACACGCCUGCCCAUACCAUAACCCCACUGCCACCAUAGGCCACUCUAUCCACAACGCUGACAUCAGCAAAGCGCUCACCCACACAAUGCCAUACACGCUGUCUGCCAUCUGCCCUGUACAGUGAAAACAGGGAUUCAUCCUUGAAGAGAACACCUCUCCAAAGUGCCAGACAAUGUGAGCAUUUGCCCACUCAAGUCAGUUACGACGACGAACUGCAGUCAGUUCGAGACCCCGAUGAGGACGACGAGCUUUGAGUGGCCUUUUAUUGUGGCCAGUCUAAGGCACACCUGUGCAUUACCCAUGCUGUCUGAUCAGCAUCUUGAUGUGCCACACCUGUGAGGUGG
rnacentral:lncRNA from 15 species